rfam:Heterocephalus glaber contig50287, whole genome shotgun sequence.
GGACAUCUGGCUGCCACAUCUAUCACGCCACCAGUCACUGGCUAGGUGUCUCCUUCACUCCAUGUGCGUCCUUCAAAAAGGUGGGCUCUUUGUCAUAGAAGAGACCUUCCCCAACACAGAAAGACUGUGUCAGCUGUCGGAUAUACUAUUAUCUGGGUUCCCUGGCUAGAACUCUUAAGAAAACUCUCAAGAGAAGGUUCUGUUCUACUUCUAGUCUCCUGAUAGCUUUUACGAUGAACAGCUGUAGAAUUUAGUCCAAUACUUUUUCUCCAACUACUGACAGGAUCAUAUGGCUUUUUCCUUUCCUCU